rnacentral:rRNA from 1 species
UGGGGAAUAUUGGACAAUGGGGGGAACCCUGAUCCAGCCAUGCCGCGUGUGUGAAGAAGGCCUUAUGGUUGUAAAGCACUUUAAGCGAGGAGGAGGGUACUGGUAUUAAUACUACCAGGUACUGGACGUUACUCGCAGAAUAAGCACCGGCUAACUCUGUGCCAGCAGCCGCGGUAAUACAGAGGGUGCGAGCGUUAAUCGGAUUUACUGGGCGUAAAGCGUGCGUAGGCGGCUAAUUGAGUCGGAUGUGAAAUCCCCGAGCUUAACUUGGGAAUUGCAUUAGAUACUGGUUAGCUAGAGUGUGGGAGAGGAUGGUAGAAUUCCAGGUGUAGCGGUGAAAUGCGUAGAGAUCUGGAGGAAUACCGAUGGCGAAGGUAGACAUCUGGCAUAACACUGACGCUGAGGUACGAAAGCAUGGGGAGCAAACAGG